rnacentral:lncRNA from 11 species
UAUAAUUUGCUCUUAGUUCACUCAGCAAGAGGAGAACGCGGGGGGGGGGGGGGGGGAUAGAUUUUGCUUAUGCGUUCAUCCUCAUUGAUAACAUUUUGAUCUGUGAUGUUAUUGGCCAAAUGUGUCCUGAUUUUCAUCAAUGAAAGUUAGAGGGUAUAGUGCCUGACAGGAAUCAUGUGGAUUCUCCAGUUGAUAAUGGUAUCUUAUGUUUUCAGCAGCUCAAGCAGAAGAAGGGAGGAUUCAAGAAGCAGCAGACAGGCAAUCCAGAUUCACAGGCCAGGCAGUGGAAACACAGUACGAUGCACAGUCACCAGUUGUUACCUUUCAGCCGAAUCAAGAUCGUGUCAGUAUUGAAAUACUUCCUAGGUAUCCCACACCACAUACACGGAAGAAGUCAU